rnacentral:rRNA from 1 species
GAUGAACGCUGGCGGCGUGCCUAAUACAUGCAAGUCGAGCGAACAGACGAGGAGCUUGCUCCUCUGACGUUAGCGGCGGACGGGUGAGUAACACGUGGAUAACCUACCUAUAAGACUGGGAUAACUUCGGGAAACCGGAGCUAAUACCGGAUAAUAUAUUGAACCGCAUGGUUCAAUAGUGAAAGACGGUUUUGCUGUCACUUAUAGAUGGAUCCGCGCCGCAUUAGCUAGUUGGUAAGGUAACGGCUUACCAAGGCAACGAUGCGUAGCCGACCUGAGAGGGUGAUCGGCCACACUGGAACUGAGACGCGGUCCAGACUCCUACGGGAGGCAGCAGUAGGGAAUCUUCCGAAAUGGGCGAAAGCUUGACGGAGCAACGCCGCGUGAGUGAUGAAGGUCUUCGGAUCGUAAAACUCUGUUAUUAGGGAAGAACAAAUGUGUAAGUAACUAUGCACGUCCUGACGGUACCUAAUCAGAAAGCCACGGCUAACUACG